ACACUAACAAUCCUUCGGGUGCGUUAAUGGGCGUCGAGCGGCGGACGGGUGAGUAAUGCCUAGGAAAUUGCCUUGAUGUGGGGGAUAACCAUUGGAAACGAUGGCUAAUACCGCAUAAUGCCUACGGGCCAAAGAGGGGGACCUUCGGGCCUCUCGCGUCAAGAUAUGCCUAGGUGGGAUUAGCUAGUUGGUGAGGUAAUGGCUCACCAAGGCGACGAUCCCUAGCUGGUCUGAGAGGAUGAUCAGCCACACUGGAACUGAGACACGGUCCAGACUCCUACGGGAGGCAGCAGUGGGGAAUAUUGCACAAUGGGCGAAAGCCUGAUGCAGCCAUGCCGCGUGUAUGAAGAAGGCCUUCGGGUUGUAAAGUACUUUCAGUUGUGAGGAAGGGGGUAGCGUUAAUAGCGCUAUCUCUUGACGUUAGCAACAGAAGAAGCACCGGCUAACUCCGUGCCAGCAGCCGCGGUAAUACGGAGGGUGCGAGCGUUAAUCGGAAUUACUGGGCGUAAAGCGCAUGCAGGUGG
rnacentral:rRNA from 1 species